rnacentral:rRNA from 2 species
CGAAUGAUUAGAGGACUUGGGGACGAAAUGUCCUUAACCUAUUCUCAAACUCUAAAUGGGUAUGAAGCCAGGGUUGCUUGACUCUGAACCCAGGCGUUGAAUGUUUGAGCUCCAAGUGGGCCAUUUUUGGUAAGCAGAACUGGCGAUGUGGGAUGAACCAAACGUGGAGUUAAGGUGCCAAAGUGCCCGCUCAUUAGACCUCAUAAAAGGUGUUGGUUGAUAUAGACAGCAGGACGGUGGCCAUGGAAGUCGGAAUCCGCUAAGGAGUGUGUAACAACUCACCUGCCGAAUCAACUAGCCCUGAAAAUGGAUGGCGCUGGAGCGGGCCACCUAUACUCCACCGUCAUUGGCUUGUACACGUGCUUGUCGCGUAGUCUGGCCAUGACGUGUAGGAGGGUCGUGGUGGUUGCGUUGAAGGCUUUGGGCGUGGGCCCGGCCGGAGCUUCCACCAGUGCAGAUCUUGGUGGUAGUAGCAAAUAUUCAAGUGAGAUCCUUGAAGACUGAAGUGGAGAAGGGUUCCACGUGAACAGCAGUUGAAUGUGGGUCAGCCGAUCCUAAGGCACCGGCUAACGCCGUAACACACUACGGAUGACGACUUUUCUGUGCUUGCGCAGUUGGUCCAUCCGGUUGCCGAAAGGGAAGUGGGUUAACAUUCCCACGCCAGGCUAGGGAAAUGACGGUUCGCAAGAGCUGUUUUGCGCGGUAACGCAAAUGAACUCGCAGACGUCGUGUGGAGUCCGAGCCAGAGUUCUCUUUUCUGGUUUAGGGUGUGCGUGCCUGGAAGUGGCUCAGCCUGAGAUAGGGAUGUUGCGCCCGUAAAGCACCGCGGUUCCUGUGGUGUCUCGUGCGCUCCACACGGCCCUUGAAAAUGCGAGGGAAGCUAUUUGAAUCUCCUGCCUGAUCGUACCGAUAUCCGCAGCAGGUCUCCAAGGUGAACAGCCUCUAGUCGAUAGAAUAAUGUAGGUAAGGGAAGUCGGCAAAUUAGAUUCGUAACUUCGGGAAAAGAAUUGGCUCUAAAGGUCGGGUCAGCCGGGCUGUUGCGUGAAACAGGCGGCUUUUGCCCGUGGCUGCGUGCUGUUCUUUCGGGGAUGGUGCGUGGACUAGUGGUGAGAGCUGCUUGUGGAGCGCUUCAGCUGCGUGUAUGCUCGUCAGGGUAUGCACUUCGGUUGGCGCUGAACGACCAGUUUAGAACUGGCACGAACUCGGGGAAUCCGACUGUCUAAUUAAAACAGAGGAGACGGAUGGUCCUUGUGGACGUUGACCGUGUCUGAUUUCUGCCCAGUGCUCUGAAUGUUAAGCCAAGGAAACUUGAUUAAGCGCGGGUAAACGGCGGGAGUAACUAUGACUCUCUUAAGGUAGCCAAAUGCCUCGUCGGCUAACUACCGACGCGCACGAAUGGAUCAACGAGAUUCCCACUGUCCCUAUCUACUAUCUAGCGAAACCACAGCCAAGGGAACGGGCUUGGCAAAUUUAGCGGGGAAAGAAGACCCUGUUGAGCUUGACUCUAGUCUGACUUUGUGAAGAAUCAUGAGAGGUGUAGCAUAAGUGGGAGCCGCAAGGCGCCAGUGAAAUACCACUACUUUCAUCGAUUCCUUACUUAAUCGGUAAAACGGGAGUGCGCCCGAAAGGGUGUCCAUUUUGGUGUUAAGUCGGGCCACCCGGUGGCCCGGCGACCCGCGCCGAUGACAGUGUCAGGCGGGGAGUUUGACUGAAGGCGGUACAUCUGUCAAAGCGUAACGCAGGUGUCCUAAG